rnacentral:rRNA from 1 species
GAUGGAGGGGGAUAACUACUGGAAACGGUAGCUAAUACCGCAUAACGUCGCAAGACCAAAGUGGGGGACCUUCGGGCCUCAUGCCAUCAGAUGAACCCAGAUGGGAUUAGCUAGUAGGUGGGGUAAUGGCUCACCUAGGCGACGAUCCCUAGCUGGUCUGAGAGGAUGACCAGCCACACUGGAACUGAGACACGGUCCAGACUCCUACGGGAGGCAGCAGUGGGGAAUAUUGCACAAUGGGCGCAAGCCUGAUGCAGCCAUGCCGCGUGUAUGAAGAAGGCCUUCGGGUUGUAAAGUACUUUCAGUAGGGAGGAAGGUGUGAGCGUUAAUA